CGCUGGCGGCAUGCCUAACACAUGCAAGUCGAACGGUAACAGGUCUUCGGAUGCUGACGAGUGGCGCACGGGUGAGUAACGCGUGGAUAUCUGCCUAUUAGUGGGGGACAACUUUCGGAAACGGAAGCUAAUACCGCAUAAUCUCUACGGAGGAAAGCAGGGGACCUUUCGGGGCYUUGUGCUGAUAGAUGAGUCCGCGUCUGAUYAGCUAGUUGGUAGGGUAAAAGCCUACCAAGGCGAUGAUCAGUAGCUGGUUUGAGAGGAUGAUCAGCCACACUGGAACUGAGACACGGUCCAGACUCCUACGGGAGGCAGCAGUGGGGAAUUUUGCACAAUGGGGGAAACCCUGAUGCAGCGAUGCCGCGUGUGGGAAGAAGGCUUUCGAGUUGUAAACCACUUUCAAUUGGGAAGAAGGGAUGAGUGUUAAUAACACUCUGACUUGACGGUACCUUUAGAAGAAGCACCGGCUAAUUUCGUGCCAGCAGCCGCGGUAAUACGAAAGGUGCAAGCGUUGUUCGGAUUUACUGGGCGUAAAGAGAUCGUAGGUGGUUUGAUAAGUUGGAUGUGAAAUCCYGGGGCUCAACCUCGGAACUGCAUCCAAAACUGUCAGACUUGAGUUCGGGAGGGGUAAGCGGAAUUCCGUGUGUAGCAGUGAAAUGCGUAGAUAUACGGAGGAACACCUGAGGCGAAGGCGGCUUACUGGACCGAUACUGACACUGAGGAUCGAAAGCGUGGGUAGCAAACAGGAUUAGAUACCCUGGUAGUCCACGCCCUAAACGAUGUCAACUAGCCGUUGCGGGUAUCGACCCCUGCAGUGGCGCAGCUAACGCGAUAAGUUGACCGCCUGGGGAGUACGGUCGCAA
rnacentral:rRNA from 1 species